GUGUACGAUGAAGCGCAGCGAAGCCUGUGUAUCGGUAUGUUCAUCAAGCGGGAUUCGGCACCGGUGUAUCGACGACAACUAGCACUCGAGAAGCCUGCAAUGUGUGUUUGUGUGCCGGCACAUCAAGCCUCAUCAUGACUUGGAGCACCUGUACAAAAAUAGGAAUGACAUGUGCUCCCUCAAUGUGCAAGUCUGUGUCACUGCUGGGACUGCUAUCAUUCAGUUGACCAGGAAAUGGCCGGGAAGCAUGCAUGGGAGCCUCAUCUGGAAGGACUGUAAUCUGCUUGGGAGCUUCAAGGGCACAAAACUGCCUAAUGACUGGUUGCAAGGUGAUCCUCAGUGUGCCUCAAAGCCAUGUCUCCUCAAUUCCCUGGCUGUGGCUAGCCUACUUCAGCAGCAGUGUGAUGCAGCCAGCACACAUGCAAGCCAAGUCAUGGAGCGCUCUUUUGGUGUCCUGUACAGGACACAACAUAUCCAUCCGGCAAAACACUGAUAUCAAUAAUAAUGUUCCAGCAGUAACAAGGGAUCCUGUGCUUGACGGUCAUGUAGAGUGCAUCAAGAACAGAGCACAGAAGACCAAUAAGCAGAAAGCGAUUGCCAAAGACUGUUCUCCUGCUCAAAGUACACGACAGCAGAAAGAGCACGUUGUGAUGUCAGGAGCAGUUUCAAUUGUAUACGUAGUAACAUUCUGUGCAGCUGCUGUUUAACUUCUUAGCAUUGCAAUAUUCAGCAGUUCCUUUUCUUGCAUUCCAAACUAUUUAAAACUUGCAUGGGAGAUACCAAAUUAUGACACUAAUUUAAAGGCUGCUGUAGAGUUACUGGGCAAAUAAUUUUGAGCUGAAGAUUUUAACAUGCAUGUUAAUCAAAGUGCCUGCGUGUAUCUGCAUUUCACAGCCAUAAAUCUCAGCAUCCGUGGCCGGCAAGGGUAACUGUGUUUGCAUUCUUUGUAGUACAAGAAGUAAAGCCAUAGAUGUGGUAGUCUUGUACUUAGUCGAUAUAUUCUUUCAGUAUACAUUCAUUUGUAUAUCAUGUGUAUAUAAGCUCUGGAAAGUGCUUCUAUGUGGAUUGUUUUAUUUGGAAGGAAAAGGAUGAUCACUACUCCUAGUAUAUCUAACAGUAGGUUUUACAACUUGCGUAAUGUUAUCCCAUUGCCUGUCGGUACUUCAACAGUCUACUUCUCUGUUUCUACUGUGUACGUGUAACUUCUUUAGUGUAGUCUUUGCUCGGAUAGGUUUAUUCAUAAUGUAUUGAGUACAUUGCAAAUGACUUAUCAUCUAUGCAGCUUUCCUCAUAUUAGAAUAAAAGUAAUAAAUUUAAUAAUACG